GGGAUAUGAUGAGUGGUCAUUACUCGCAAAUUAAAAAUAUGCGAGAUGGGCGUCCAGGCUCAGCCUCGUUACGACAUUUUGGGCGCUCUCAUUUUUAACCAAUCUGAUCCC
rfam:Capsicum annuum cultivar Zunla-1 chromosome 4, whole genome shotgun sequence